rnacentral:rRNA from 1 species
GACGAACGCUGGCGGCGUGCCUAAUACAUGCAAGUAGAACGCUGAAGGAGGAGCUUGCUUCUCUGGAUGAGUUGCGAACGGGUGAGUAACGCGUAGGUAACCUGCCUGGUAGCGGGGGAUAACUAUUGGAAACGAUAGCUAAUACCGCAUAAGAGUAGAUGUUCCAUGACAUUUGCUUAAAAGGUGCAAUUGCAUCACUACCAGAUGGACCUGCGUUGUAUUAGCUAGUUGGUGGGGUAACGGCUCACCAAGGCGACGAUACAUAGCCGACCUGAGAGGGUGAUCGGCCACACUGGGACGGAGACACGGCCCAGACUCCUACGGGAGGCAGCAGUAGGGAAUCUUCGGCAAUGGACGGAAGUCUGACCGAGCAACGCCGCGUGAGUGAAGAAGGUUUUCGGAUCGUAAAGCUCUGUUGUAAGAGAAGAACGAGUGUGAGAGUGGAAAGUUCACACUGUGACGGUAUCUUACCAGAAAGGGACGGCUAACUACGUG